CGGCGGACGGGUGAGUAAUGUCUGGGAAACUGCCCGAUGGAGGGGGAUAACUACUGGAAACGGUAGCUAAUACCGCAUAACGUCGCAAGACCAAAGAGGGGGACCUUCGGGCCUCUUGCCAUCGGAUGUGCCCAGAUGGGAUUAGCUAGUAGGUGGGGUAACGGCUUACCUAGGCGACGAUCCCUAGCUGGUCUGAGAGGAUGACCAGCCACACUGGAACUGAGACACGGUCCAG
rnacentral:rRNA from 1 species